rnacentral:snRNA from 1 species
AUACUUACCUGGCAGGGGAGAUACCAUGAUCACGAAGGUGGUUUUCCCAGGGCGAGGCUUAUCCAUUGCACUCCGGAUGUGCUGAUCCCUGCGAUUUCCCCAAAUGUGGGAAACUCGACUGCAUAAUUUGUGGUAGUGGGGGACUGCGUUCGCGCUUUCCCCUG